rnacentral:rRNA from 1 species
UACGGAGGGGGCUAGCGUUGUUCGGAAUUACUGGGCGUAAAGCGCGCGUAGGCGGACCUGCAAGUCGGGGGUGAAAGCCCGAGGCUCAACCUCGGAACUGCCUUCGAUACUGCGGGUCUCGAGUCCGGGAGAGGUGAGUGGAAUUCCUAGUGUAGAGGUGAAAUUCGUAGAUAUUAGGAAGAACACCGGUGGCGAAGGCGGCGUCUCUGGGACGGUGACUGACGCUGAGACGCGAAAGCGUGGGGAGCAAACAGG